rnacentral:lncRNA from 1 species
CCGCUUGGUGGAAAAAUCUCAAAUUUUGAUAUGAUCAAGCUAAGUAACUCAUAAACGUCCUCCAACUGGAAUUACUCCAAAAUUAUUACUCCAAAAUUCGUCCAUUUGGUCCUGUUUUGCUCCAGAGGAAGUCAAAAGUCCUAUAUUAAAAAUACAAUUCAAAGUAUCAAAAUUCUUCCAAAAUAUUAACCAAAAUAUACUAAGAAUAGGGUAAAAUAUAUAUAAUAUAAAGUCUACUCAUCAAAUUGAACAAAUGAUUGGUAUGUGUUUACCUUGAAUUUGAGAUAUUCAAUGAAUUGACUAUGAGUAAGGAUUUUAUGCCAUUUAAAAUCAGUUGUUAUGAAAAUAUUCUUCAUAAUGAAAGUAAUGAAUUCAAAAUAAUAAUGCAAAUAUAAUUUGAAAAUAAGUUUUAUUGCAAAACUUACACUGGAACUUGCAAUUGAUUUACUGACGAUUGAGUCAGCAAAUAAGAAAAUGACUGAUGAAAAGGAUAUUGGUGCACACAUGCAUCCUUGACAUUUGAAAAUUAAAAAUGUUUACAAUUUUUGAUUUCUUUGGGUAUAGUGUGAACUCAAAUAAAGCUUUUACUGAGAAAUUGUGGAAAUUCCAAACUUGAAACUUUCUCCUCUAUAGUCCACCUCUUAUAGACUUAGAAAAGGAGUUGGAUGAUGACUUACUUUUACUAUUGAUGAAUGAUGACUUGCUUUCACUAUUGAUGAACAAUGAAAUUUAUUGGAAUAAUUGC